UGAUUUAUUGUUCUAAUUAGAGAAAAGCAUAUUUUGAUCACAACUCUGGUUCUUCCAUUCUCCUCAAAAGAGAGAGACUAUAUUUAGUGUCGAGUUCAUCUCAAAAAACAUAAGGCUUAUGCAAACCUUGUGAUUAUUUAAAGUGGAAAUAAAUCCUAAAGGCAACCUUUAUGAAAAAAAGCUCAUAAAAUUGAAGUGUAAUCUGUGAGAUGAACAUUUUAGGGUUAAGUGGUUUGUACUAUAGAAUCUUAGUGUGUGCAUUUCAAGACUGUCAAGCUACCUGACAGACUGAUGACCUCAAUUUGCUUUGCUUUACUUCGGCUCAUCAGUGAUGAUCAGUGUAAUGUUAGCUUACUUGAUUCUUCAAAGCUGCAUUCAAACACAAGGAAAUCUUCUCAAAAUAGACAAACCGUUUAGGUUUAUUCAGGGUGACUAUGUCUUUUUACUAACAUAAUGAAACUCGAUGAACAUCCAAGGAGAACUUUUAAUUCAUGAUGGAGCAUAGUUUCCUAGAUGCAUAGCACCUUGGCAAAGAGGAUAAACAGAUUAUAAUCCAUUUUGAUUUGACUAUUAAAAAAGAAUCUAAAGACUUGAGUAAAUCCAGUAAUUUAAAAGCUUUUGCAAUGAUGUACAUGCACAACUGCUAAACCCACUAUUAGUAACAAAUUACUUGUAGUGAAUUAGACUUAAAUGUAAUUUAAUUAAACUGUCAGCUGAGAUUCACAACAGUUGCUAUAGUUGAGCCUAUAAGCCCUCAGAAAAUGAAACCCCUCCCAGUGCUGGAUGUCACCAAACAAGAGCUUUUCACCCUAUUAUUGUUUUAGUAUAUGUUUUCAUGGUUGCAAAAGGGAAAAUGAGCAUGUAUAUUAAGGCAAUUAAAUAAUGCAAUACACCUGCUGAUCUGAGUAAUCUUUUGAGUCAAAAGGGAGUUUAUCCUCUUUAACCAAUCAUAUGGGUCUUCUUACAGCCAAGCAGCUAGGGGGGAAGGAGAGCCAUCUGCUUUCUGGAUUUUGCUAUUCGCCACAUGGGUUAGUUACAAAGGCAAGAAAGAUGAUGUGUUAUGCUUCAAGAGAAUAAAGUGAAGAAGAUAGGUGUUGGUCAUCCAUAAAUUUAGAUGAGGCACUAUAAAAAAGGCUUUUAAACAGCAAUGAGGAGUGAAAUUCUGGAAAAGCCAACCAAGCACACAGGAGAUAAGAAGAACUCUUAAGAUAUUUUUAGAUGUCAAUUGCUGUAUUUAUUGAUGGGAUGGUACAACAGAACAAUCGGUUUCUGAAGCUGCGAAAUUAUGCCUUAAUGCCAUGCUUCAGGGCCUUUUUUUGUUUCCAUUCAAGUCAGUGAGAAUAAUUUUCUCUCUAUGGUUUGUGAAUUAACUUUUUUUGACAUAAUUUUUUGUCUUCUAGUAAAACAUUGGCUGCACACAGGCAAAGUGUUAAGGUGAUUAGCAGUGCCAUUGUAAUUGAAAUACUGAAGUGCUUAGUGGUCCCUCAGCCUUAAACUACCAGAAAGAUUAGGGCAGAAGGAAUUGCAUUUCCUUCAUUUGCAUCUUUAUUUAUCUAACUUUCCAAUGUUGCAGGAGCCCAAAAGUUUGGUCAUGCUGUUGGUUUUCUUUCUUGUCUGCAUGUGAUUUUACAGCUAUAUUGUUUUCAUUUUACUACAGUUUGAUUGUUACAGAUUACAAGAAAAACUUUGUAGUGCCAUGUGUAAUACACAAUUCUGUCAACCUUCCUGAGCGAGACAUCUGUCACUUGGUUGCUGGCAAUAAGGGUGGAACUGAAUGCACUGACCCUUCCAGUGGUCCCUUUCAGUCUUGUUCAGCUCAACCUCUUCAAAGGCUGCAACAAUUACAGCUUCAGAUGGAAAAGAGAUAGAAGGAUUGUGAUUCUCAGGGUCACAAGGUCUCUAAGCCACUCUUUAAUGCUUCAGUCAGGUUUUAUAUGUGUGUUCCCCACUCAUCAUGCAACAAGUUGUAGAACUGAAUUUCCAGAGCUCAGACAUUCUGAUUGCUUUGUGGGUGCAUGGCCUUACAAUUUUGUACCCACCCAGAAGAGUCAAGCAGAGAUAAAUAAAUGAGCUUGCCGACACUCAGCCUAGAAUGUUUGUCUACAUGAUCAGGGUAAUCAUGCUACCAGCUUAGGUAGUGCAGGGAGACAUACCUUGAGGAAUAAGGUUCAGUGUGUUGUAACAAAAUAUAUGAGAAAAUAAUGUAGCCUUAUUUCCUAUUUUAUGCUUUGAACUAGAAUUUUCUUAGCAGAAGCUAAAGAGCAGAUACUUGUUUUUAUAAAACAUUUGUAAAAUGGAAACGCCACUUGUAAAUACUGAUGCAGUCAGAUAUUAGGGCUACCUAGAAGGAAGCAUAUAGUCCCAGUGCUGUGAAGCCCUGAUUUUUUUUCAUUUUUUAUUUCCUAAGACAACUAGCUCCACCUACUAAGCACAUCUGAACCAUUUCACCCUGGGUUCUGUAAGAUGAAUGACUGCUCACAGUGAUACUGCAGGAUUGAAAGGUUCCUAGAUUUUCUUUUGAUGUAUGCUUACAUGCUGGUAAGGCCAGAAAGAUGUUCAAGACAUAGAUGAAUUAUUUGAGGCAGAAUUGUAUAUGUUUAAAAUGUCUGUCCAGACAUUCUACCUAAAAUUUUCCAGGUCUUUGCUCUUCUAGGAUAUCUUUGUUCUUCCUCUAUAUUUUUCCAUGUUUUUUUUUCAAAUGCAUUUCAUUCUUUUAAGCCUUCCUCAUUAGUUAAUGCUUUCUGGAGCUUUCAGCGUUUCGUUUGCUCUUCAGGAUUCCAGUUUUUCUGUAUCCUUAGAGAAGUCUACAACUCAGAUACAUUUUUAUAGCUGUGGGUUUAUAAGUGACAAAUAGAAAGGCCAUGUUUUACUAAUAGACUGACUUCUUAGGUACAGCAUAACUUUGAAUUAACAUAAGAAUUGAAUUAACACUUUUGCCAUAGUUUUAUUUUGUUCAAAAAUGAAUGAUUUGUAAUUCUUAUGAAUAUUUUUUACUACUCCUGCUUAGGUUGUUCCCAUUUUGUAGUAAGCCAAAAGCUUUUGUUACCAUUUGCUCAUUUUAAAAUUUUCUUUAUGGAUCACUUCUAGCUGUAUCCUCAUUAAUUAAGAAGAGUCAGUAUUAUACUUCACUGUAAGAGAUCAGUGACAACAGAUCUAGCCCGUGAAGAGCUUACUACCUCUUCAUACAGUUUAAAAUAUUUUUCUGCGUUCUUAAGUAUGAAACAUUUCUAUCUUGCAAGCCUGAUAAGGCAACUAUUUCCAAAAAAGCUGUGUUACAAAAUGAAUCCUUGUAGCACUAUUUCAAAAAUGUUGCAUGUCUCACUUAGCCCGGUGGCUGCUACAUAGUAGGGAAUGAGUGUUACAUUAAUGACCACAUUUGACAGCCUGACUCUGUAAUCUGUUUUUCACUGGCAUUUCAUUUCUAGGCCAACAUUUAUGCCCUUAUCUGGAAAAAUUAGACCAAUGCAAUUUUAAAAAAAAAAAUUAUUAACAAGACUUUUAAUAUUAAAGAUGGUUAUAUAUCCUCAUUAAGUAAGAUGUGCCAUCCAGAGACUAGCCAUCUUGUUAUGUGGUCAUGAAAUGAGGUAGGGUUAGACUGUGCUCUUGAGCUACAGAGCUCUGAUGAAAGCCUGUUUCAUGAAGCACAAAGCUCCACUCAGUAGGUGGCAUUCUUGUCACUGACAUUUGUCACCAAUAUCUUCUGGGGUAGUGCUGUCACUAAAGCUGUUUGAAGUUGGUGGAAAUAUAGUAAACCUUUUCCCGUUUUCAUUUUUUAAAUAUAUUUAGCUGGGUGAUUGUUGCUUCUUGAAAGACCUGACAAAGGGUGAGAAUGUACAUAGCUGUCUGCUUUUUCUGACUUCAUCACAUCCAGGAAAUAUAAUAAAAUACAUUAUUUAAUUUAGAUUCAAUGGACUAUACUUUCCCUGUUUGUGCAAGACCACCUUUCUUUAAAGAUCCUGUUCUGUUUGUGAGUUGAGGUAGCUUAGUCAAGUACCUGACAGUUAGAAACUAUGGCUAUAGUGACUACUAAACCUGGAUCUUUAUUCUUGCACAGUAUGGUCAGUAUGUUCCUCCAGCUAAACUCCUAGCUAAACUCUUGACUAAAUUUAAACACAACCAUGAUAAAAAAAUAACAAAAUCAUUAGAACAUGUCACUGAGUUCCAUAAUAAAAGCCAUUAUGACUUCCUCAGAACUGUACAAAGUCCUCUGCACAGAUUUCACAAGUUUGUGCAAUGAUUCCCCUGCAUCCCUCAGGGUAACUACAUAGCUACAGAAUUUUUAGAGUGAAACUUGGCAUUAGUGGUUUUGGACAAAGCCAAAGAAUAAAGAUUAAACUUUUUUUUUUUUUUUUUUUUUGCUGAAGAUUUGUUACAGCAUAAAUACUGUCUAAUAUACGAUAAUCCAAUUUUUAUAAAGUCCCUAGGAGCAGCAGAGCUGCAUUUUUUAAUUCUGGACAAGUGUGACUCUCAAAAACAUUUUCUGAAAUUAGCUAGUUUCCUUGGGUUUUACUGUAGUGAGAAGUUAACAAGUAUCCUUUGUUCCAUUUUUAGCUCUGUUAUUGGUUUAGUAAAUUAAAUAGAAGUUUGUAUUAGCAGAUUUAUGUGGAGGCAUAAGCAUUUAGGUGUGUGCCAAUAUUCAGACAGUCUAAGAAAGCAGUGCAUCAUGUUUGGUUUUUACAAAGAUAUAUUUCUACUGUAGCUGGUAAAUGAACACUAUGUGGUGCAAUUGAAUUUGAUCCUAAACUUCUAAAGCUUUGGCAGAGAUAUUUUAAUGAGCUGAGACAAAAGGUCUAUCUCAUGGUAGCUCUGCCUCUCCACUAGAUUAAAAUAAAUCCAGUCAUGCAUGUUUUUUGUCUCCUUUUCUUUCCAAACAUAAGAAAAAAAUAAUUUCCUUUACCAAUUCAGUGAGUUGAACGUUGUUAUACGUAUAAAUGUUCAAAUAUAAAUGUGUAGAUACUGUCUCCCACUUGGUGACCAGAAGACCAAAGUAUCUAAAAAAAACAACUUUUCUAACAAAUUAUGAAAGAAAAAAUGAAGUUGAACCCUGCAUUCAUAUCGAUGUAGGGGAA